AACUAAAAUUAGAACUAAGAGGUGAACCUUGGUUACUUACCUCAGUCUUCUCUGUUCAUCUCCCCACGUUUUUCUCUCUCCUGGGAGAGAUUCUUUGGGAUGAGGGGUAGCAUGGGCCUGCUCCUGUGAGGAGCUGAGCACUCUUAAUUCUCCAUUAAUUUCAAAGGGUGUCAAAGAUGCUCUGCUCUUCCCAGGAUCAAGACCUAAAUAAACGUAAGACCUUAGUGGUCUAGUGAUCGAAGAAGAGGGCUGGAAGCCAGGAAAACUGGGUUCUAUUUCCAUCUCGGCCAUUGCUUCACUGAGUGACUUCAGGCAAGUCAAACUCUCCAUGCCUCAGUUCCCCCCGCUCUAAAAUGGGGGAAAUACUUACCUGCCCUGCGGGGGGAUUGUGAAGAUUUAUUUUUUCAUGCUGACAAAGCACCAUGGAAUCCAUGGAUGAAAGGCAAAGCAUUAUAUAUUAUUAUUGUCACAUACCAUUGGUGGAGAGAAGGAAGUAGGCUGCAUUUUGCUGCGGGAGCCAUCGUAUUUUAUUGAUCUUCUCCUCUAUCUCUAAACUCUUCAGGGAUCCCUCCGCUCACUUUAGGAUCCAAUCACUCCCUGAUAAUGUGCGAGGAGCCCACCAUGUCUGCUGAGCUGUGACAAUCCAGAUGGCAGCAGGCAGGAAAUGGGAUCUGACUUCACCAACAGCUAUGACAGGUCCAGCCCAUCUCAGUUAAAUUCCUUUGCUCCCCAAAGAAAGACAGUUAUUGUCAGACACCAUGAAUGCCACCCAAAAGACUCAGACGGGGUUUUCCUUCUAAAAAUUCUUUACAGCCAAAGGCAAAGAGGACAAGGAAUGUCGCUAAAGUGAAAGCCUUACUUAAUAUUUCACAUUCCAAAUGCUGUAACUGUUUUUCCUUCUUUUUCUGGAUCUUUAAUAAAAGGUUUAAAAGAUGCGUAAUGGUGUGUUUGCCAUGGCACUAAACAGGCUGAGAUCUUUGCAUGCCAAACCCCAAACCUUGUUCAAAACUGUUUAAUGUUGAACAGUUACCAAGUCAUGUUAACAUCUCUGACUCUUUGGGCCAAUAUAUUCCAUCUAUAUUGAUACAACACCACUGCACCACUGGUGUGCAUCAAAGCUGAUGAGGAUUCAUCGCUGACAUAAUGAUUGGCGUUCAGACAAAUGUGUUUAAUUCUACCCACAGUGAAAGGCGCCACCUUUUGCUACCCAUUAUGAGUGAGUCAGAAGUGGCAAAUGACUUGUAGAAGAGCAAGGCCCCAAUAUAACCGCUUGAGAGAUGGUCUACCGCAGUGGUGG